UCCUCCCAGAUUCAGCAGAGAUACACCGGCCCGGAUGCUCAGAGGAAAGUUAGACAAACAGGGAUUUCCAUUGGCGGUUUAUUGAGAUUCAACGAUUAAUAAGAUAAGACACAACAAAAAAUGUCUUCAUCACCAGAGUUUGACAGAGACAGCCAUACAGAUGAUGAAAGCAACAAUAAUCAGCUGUUGGAUCUUAAUUUUCCAGAAACAGAUGUGACUUUGGUCGUGGAGGGUAGAAAAAUUCACGUCAGUAAGGCUGUUGUCCUUUCUCAACAUUCACCUGUGUUUCAAGCCAUGUUUUCUGGACAUUUUAAGGAAAGUACACAAAAGGAGGUACUACUUCAGGACAAAAGAUACCAAGAUGUUGUAGAAUUUCUUCGAUGUUUUUAUCCCAACAUGAAACAUGAUGUCACAG